AGGAGUGGAGCCUGCGGCUUAAUUUGACUCAACACGGGGAAUCUCACCAGGCCCAGACACUGGAAGGAUUGACAGAUUGAGAGCUCUUUCUUGAUUCAGUGGGUGGUGGUGCAUGGCCGUUCUUAGUUGGUGGAGCGAUUUGUCUGGUUAAUUCCGAUAACGAACGAGACUCUAGCCUACUAAAUAGACGUUACACUUACCAGUAUCUCGAAGGCUCACAUCUCUCGUCUCGUUACUGCAUAUCGCCGGCCAUUUCGGUGGUUGGUUGGUGUGUGGGUGGUCGGGAGUUUGUGGUUUUUACUACUGGCGUACAUAUAUAUCUUCUUAGAGGGACAGGCGGCUUCUAGCCGCACGAGAUUGAGCAAUAACAGGUCUGUGAUGCCCUUAGAUGUUCUGGGCCG
rnacentral:rRNA from 1 species